UUGACCUCGGAUCAGAUAGGGAUACCCGCUGAACUUAAGCAUAUC
rnacentral:rRNA from 8 species